GAUGAACGCUGGCGGCGUGCCUAAUACAUGCAAGUCGAGCGAACAGACGAGGAGCUUGCUCCUCUGACGUUAGCGGCGGACGGGUGAGUAACACGUGGAUAACCUACCUAUAAGACUGGGAUAACUUCGGGAAACCGGAGCUAAUACCGGAUAAUAUAUUGAACCGCAUGGUUCAAUAGUGAAAGACGGUUUUGCUGUCACUUAUCGAUGGAUCCGCGCCGCAUUAGCUAGUUGGUAAGGUAACGGCUUACCAAGGCAACGAUGCGUAGCCGACCUGAGAGGGUGAUCGGCCGCACUGGAACUGAGACACGGUCCAGACUCCUACGGGAGGCAGCAGUAGGGAAUCUUCCGCAAUGGGCGAAAGCCUGACGGAGCAACGCCGCGUGAGUGAUGAAGGUCUUCGGAUCGUAAAACUCUGUUAUUAGGGAAGAACAAAUGUGUAAGUAACUAUGCACGUCUUGACGGUACCUAAUCAGAAAGCCACGGCUAACUACGUG
rnacentral:rRNA from 1 species